rnacentral:rRNA from 1 species
CAAUAGCGUAUAUUUAAGUUGUUGCAGUUAAAAAGCUCGUAGUUGGAUUUCGGGUGGGAUUUGCCGGUCCGUCGUUACGAUGUGCACUGGCCAGUCCUAUCUUGUUGUCGGGGACUAGCUCCUUGGAUUCACUUCCUGGGACUAGGAGCUGACGAGGUUACUUUGAGUAAAUUAGAGUGUUCAAAGCAAGCCUACGCUCUGAAUACAUUAGCAUGGAAUAACACGAUAGGACUCUGGCUUAUCUUGUUGGUCUGUGAGACCAGAGUAAUGAUUAAGAGGGACAGUCGGGGACAUUCGUAUUUCAUUGUCAGAGGUGAAAUUCUUGGAUUUAUGAAAGACGAACUUCUGCGAAAGCAUUUGUCAAGGAUGUUUUCAUUAA